CUGGCACUGGUCUAAGUAAAGAAAACAAUGGAUGUGUUGUUACCCCUCUGGCUGCCUGCAGCAAAGGGUUUGAAGAGGACCCCACAAGCCUGGAGGUUUCAAGAGACUGAAGCCACUGGCUGUCUUCCUCACUCAUUCAUGCUGCAGCAAUACCAACCCUUCCCCAAACUCUGACUGAAUCUGCAGAGUGACGGUGGUAGUUAGUCUCCAGAGAUGAUCACCAUCAACUCCCCACCACCCUCCUUGUAUACACAUACGAAUCCUCACAUCAACAAGUGGAGUUUACUUUCCUUCCCCACGAACCUGGGCUGGCCCUAGUGACUUUCUUGGCCAAUAGGAUGUAGCAGAAGGGGCGUCUGGGACUUGUGAGACUAGGUCAUCAGCAGCCUUGUGGCUUCUGCACCAGCCUCUCAAAGCACUUGGUCUUGGGACACUCCCUCUUGCAACAUAGCUGCCAUGCUGCGGAGUCCAAGCCGCGUGGUGAGCCACGCGCAGGCUCCCUAGUCGUCACCCUCGGCGGAGCUCCCAGCCGCCCCAGCUAUGCCAGUGAGCCUUCAAGGAGUCAAGCCAGCUGCCAUCUGACUGCAGUCGUUUGAGAGACUUUAAACAAGAACCACCCAGCUGAACCCUGUCAACCCCCAGAACUACAGGAAAUAAUAAAUUGUGUUUUUAAGCCACUAAA